CUCUUGACAGGCUCUCGCUCACACACACAUACAGACACUCUACCAGGCUCUCUCGCUCACACACAUACAGAUACUGACAAGCUCUCUCUCUCACACACUCUGACAGCCUCGCUCACUGACAGCACACACACACAGACACACACAGUCUGACAGGCUCUCUCACACACAGACACAAAUUUUUGUUUGAAUUGAAACCCACUCAGUCUCCCUACCUUUGGGAGAGCUGAGUGAGUCUUUCCUGGGGUCCAGUGGGGCUGCACUCUUCCUGUGUGCGAAGGAGCAGUACUCUGCCUGUAGCUCCUCUCUGCUUCCUCGCGCUCUGUAAUGAUGCCGGGGCCGGAAUGACGUCAUAUUCCGGCUCCCGACAUCAUUACACAGCUUGAGAGCAGAUGCAAACAGAGUACUGCUCCCUCGCGUGCUGCCCAUAAUGCUCGGGAGGCCGCCUCCAUGUACCCGCGUCAAAGCUCCCUCCCACACUAAUUAGAAAGCUGGCAAAUCCCAGAUGCCAGGGCGAACAUUCUAGUCGCCAUGGCGAUCUGGCGCCUGGGAUUUGUCGAGCCCUGGGUUAACUCAUAUACAUGAACAUAG